UACGUAGGGGGCUAGCGUUGUCCGGAAUCAUUGGGCGUGAAGCGCGUGUAGGCGGCCCGGUAAGUCCGCUGUGAAAGUCGGGGGCUCAACCCUCGGAUGCCGGUGGAUACUGUCGGGCUCGAGUACGGAAGAGGCGAGUGGAAUUCCUGGUGUAGCGGUGAAAUGCGUAGAUAUCUGGAGGAACACCGGUGGCGAAGGCGACGUCCUGGACCGGCAUUGACGCUGGAGGCGCGAAAGCCAGGGGAGCAAAGCAGGAUUAACAAACCC
rnacentral:rRNA from 1 species